AACAAAACAAAACAAAACAAAACAAAACAAAAGGGCUCAAUAAACAUAAGCUAGUUAAUAGAGCAGUUAUGGAGAUGACUCUUUUCACAAGUUGGACUCACUUGUGUUGUAAGGAAGCUUAUGGUACCAAAGAGAAAAUACAACUGCCAGUUUUUCCUCUUUCAGAUUUGUGAGACGUAUAGGAUGUUCCUCUGGAGCUCCACAGGAAAGGAAAAUCAUUCACAACUCAGUUCUUCCUAUCCUUCUCUGAUUCAAGAUGGGAAAAUCAGGCUUAUUAAAUGACAUAGCAUGUUUUCUGAUGAGUAGGAGAGGAGCCCAUCAUCCAGUUGGGACCGUCACCCUAAUAGGAGGAUGCAGAGCAGCUGCUGUAUGGAAAAUGAAUCCAGUAGAGACAAGGGCAGCAACAGAGCCCCACCCAGGGCUUGCUUUGGACACAGUGAGCUAAAGCAUUCGAGUGCCAACCCUCUUCUCAUUAUCUUAUCUUAACUUAUCAUAAACAAAUUUUAUUUUAAAAAACAACUAUGACAGGUAACAUGUGAUCAUUGUAGAAAAAUGAAACAAUAAAUAAAGUAAAAAGAAAAUAAAUGUCAUCUAAAAUCCA